AAGUCGUACGCAUUCCCGUUUUUGAUUGAAGGUGCUUGCACCUGAUUGAUAAAACAUCGGAAUGAGUGGCGGACGGGUGAGUAACACGUGGGUAACCUGCCCAGAAGUGGGGGAUAACAUUUGGAAACAGAUGCUAAUACCGCAUAAUAGAUAGAACCACAUGGUUCUAUUUUGAAAGAUGGCCUUUGUGCUAUCACUUCUGGAUGGACCCGCGGUGUAUUAGCUAGUUGGUAAGGUAACGGCUUACCAAGGCAAUGAUACAUAGCCGAACUGAGAGGUUGAUCGGCCACAAUGGGACUGAGACACGGCCCAUACUCCUACGGGAGGCAGCAGUAGGGAAUCUUCCACAAUGGGCGCAAGCCUGAUGGAGCAACACCGCGUGAGUGAAGAAGGGUUUCGGCUCGUAAAACUCUGUUGUUAAAGAAGAACGUAUCUAAGAGUAACUGCUUAGGUAGUGACGGUAUUUAACCAGAAAGCCACGGCUAACUACGUGCCAGCAGCCGCGGUAAUACGUAGGUGGCAAGCGUUAUCCGGAUUUAUUGGGCGUAAAGCGAGCGCAGGCGGUUUUUUAAGUCUGAUGUGAAAGCCUUCGGCUUAACCGAAGAAGUGCAUCGGAAACUGGGAAACUUGAGUGCAGAAGAGGACAGUGGAACUCCAUGUGUAGCG
rnacentral:rRNA from 2 species